rnacentral:misc_RNA from 1 species
UUCCAAAUACCAAAAAUGUUGGAUGAACUUAUUUCAUUGCUGAUAGGUGAUUGUAUUGUAUCUAAUUUGGUAGACCUUAAACGUUGCAAUUAAAAUGCACAAUGUUGUGCUUUUCUUUGUGUCUUUAACUCUUAAUAUUUGGAAGACAGUUGUGGCCAUAUUAAGGAUAACUGGUCCAAGCUAUGUUUAUGAAGCUCGCCACUCGCUCCUUUAUGUUCUUUUAUCCAUUUUUUAAAAUUUUCCAUUCGAUGGUGGAUUUCAG